GCAGUAGCCGCGGGAAUACGUAGGUGGCAAGCGUUGUCCGGAAUUAUUGGGCGUAAAGGGCUCGCAGGCGGUUUCUUAAGUCUGAUGUGAAAGCCCCCGGCUCAACCGGGGAGGGUCAUUGGAAACUGGGAAACUUGAGUGCAGAAGAGGAGAGUGGAAUUCCACGUGUAGCGGUGAAAUGCGUAGAGAUGUGGAGGAACACCAGUGGCGAAGGCGACUCUCUGGUCUGUAACUGACGCUGAGGAGCGAAAGCGUGGGGAGCGAACAGGAUUAGAUACCCCUGUAGUCCCUGUCUCUUAUAA
rnacentral:rRNA from 1 species